CCUGGCUCAGAUUGAACGCUGGCGGCAUGCCUUACACAUGCAAGUCGAACGGCAGCACGGGAGCUUGCUCCUGGUGGCGAGUGGCGAACGGGUGAGUAAUACAUCGGAACGUACCCUGAAGUGGGGGAUAGCGUAGCGAAAGUUACGCUAAUACCGCAUAUUCUGUGAGCAGGAAAGAGGGGGAUCGCAAGACCUCUUGCUUUAGGAGCGGCCGAUGUCGGAUUAGCUAGUUGGUGAGGUAAAGGCUCACCAAGGCGACGAUCCGUAGCGGGUCUGAGAGGAUGAUCCGCCACACUGGGACUGAGACACGGCCCAGACUCCUACGGGAGGCAGCAGUGGGGAAUUUUGGACAAUGGGCGCAAGCCUGAUCCAGCCAUGCCGCGUGAGUGAAGAAGGCCUUCGGGUUGUAAAGCUCUUUCGGUGGGGAAGAAAUUGCACAGGAUAAUACCUUGUGUAGAUGACGGUACCCGCAUAAGAAGCACCGGCUAACUACGUG
rnacentral:rRNA from 1 species